GACAGAGGUGGCGAGCGUUAAUCGGAAUUACUGGGCGUAAAGCGUACGCAGGCGGCUAGGUAAGACAGGUGUGAAAUCCCCGGGCCUAACCUGGGAACUGCAUUUGUGACUGCCUGGCUAGAGUCUGUCAGAGGGGGGUGGAAUUCCACGUGUAGCAGUGAAAUGCGUAGAGAUGUGGAGGAACACCGAUGGCGAAGGCAGCCCCCUGGGAUGAGACUGACGCUCAUGUACGAAAGCGUGGGGAGCAAACAGG
rnacentral:rRNA from 1 species